rnacentral:rRNA from 1 species
GGUUAAGCGACUAAGCGUACACGGUGGAUGCCCUGGCAGUCAGAGGCGAUGAAGGACGUGCUAAUCUGCGAAAAGCGCCGGCGAGGUGAUAUGAACCCUUGACCCGGCGAUGUCCGAAUGGGGAAACCCAGUGUGUUCCGACACACUAUCGUUAACUGAAUACAUAGGUUAACGAGGCGAACCGGGGGAACUGAAACAUCUAAGUACCCCGAGGAAAAGAAAUCAACCGAGAUUCCUGCCACGGAUCGGACAGGUUGAGAAUAUGAGCGUAGAGGGACUUUUCGUCCAUGGCGGUGACCUCUGGCGAUUAAAUACACCAUUAUCAUGCCUUCAGCCACCACAACAAGGGAAGACCCAUAUAAAUACAGUGUGCGCCGGGAGACCGGUAAAGAUCAAGGGGUGAAAGUCCCCGACCAGUGAAGGACCAGCAAUCCACAGGGUCCCCGAGUCAUGCGUUGUAUACCGUGAGGUAUGGGGCGAAGCGUUGACAG